rnacentral:rRNA from 1 species
UACGUAGGUCCCGAGCGUUGUCCGGAUUUAUUGGGCGUAAAGCGAGCGCAGGUGGUUUAUUAAGUCUGGUGUAAAAGGCAGUGGCUUAACCAUAGUAUGCUUUGAAACUGUUGAACUAGAUUGCAGGAGAGGUAAGUGGAAUUCCUAGUGUAGCGGUGAAAUGCGUAGAUAUUAGGAGGAACACCAGUGGCGAAGGCGGCCUACUGGACUGUAAAUGACGCUGAGGCUCGAAAGCGUGGGGAGCAAAUAGG